rnacentral:rRNA from 1 species
GGGAAACCGCUGAUGCAGCCGUGCCGCGUGUGUCAAGAAGGCCUUCCGGAUGUAAAGCACUUUCACAAGAUGAGGAACGCUUGAAAGUUAACACCCCGCAAGACUGACGUCACCCACGAAACAAGCACCGGCUAACUCCGUGCCAGCGGCCGCAGUAAUACUGAGGGUGCAACCGCCCAGUCGGAAUGACCGGGCGUAAACGGUACGUAAGCGGCUUGGUAAACUAGAUGUGAAAGCCCCGGGCUCAACCUGGCAAUGGCAUUUUGAACUGACAGGCUCGAGUUCUGAAGAGGGUGGUACAAUUUCCUGUGUAGCGGUGAAAUGCGUAGAUAUAGGAAGGAAUACCGGUGACCAACGCGGCCACCUGAUCAUACACUGACGCUGAGGUACGAAAGCGUGGGGAGCAAACAGGAUUAGAUCCCCUGGGUAUCCACGCCGCAAACAAUGCCCACUAAUUGUCCGGGACAUCAACGAGGUGAAUAACCCCCUCACGCACCAAGUUGACCCCCCGGGGGAACAACGGACUCAAGGUUAAAACUCAAAUGAAAUUGACGGGGGGCCCCCCAAGCG